rnacentral:rRNA from 1 species
AUCCCCCGGUAGGGUGGCAAACGGGUGAGUAAUACAUGGGUGAUCUACCUUAGGGAUGGGGAUAUCCUUCCGAAAGGAGGGGCAAUACCGAAUAUUGUCCGGAGCCGUGAAGGGUUCCGGGGAAGGGAGGCCUCUGAUACAAAGCUUUUCGCCUUAAGAUGAGCCCAUGGCCCAUCAGCUAGUUGGUAGGGUAAAGGCCUACCAAGGCUACGACGGGUCGCUGGUCUGAGAGG